rnacentral:tRNA from 1 species
CCGUAGCUCAGCUGGUAGAGCAGUUGACUCUUAAUCAAUUGGUCGCAGGUUCGAGUCCUGCCGGGC